rnacentral:misc_RNA from 1 species
AACGCAUAUUGCGCUCUUUGGUAUUCCGAAGAGCAUGCUUGUUUGAGUAUCAGUAAACACCUCAAAUCCUCAAGGUUUUUUUUCUUUGAAGAUUUGGAUUUGAGUGAUCCUAACAAAAAAAAAUACUUUUUUUUGGCAGGUUACUUGAAAUUCAGGUGCAGCUGAACAUUCUUCUGAGCUAAAAGCAUAUUUAUUUAGUCCUUGCUUCACCAAAGCUGGAUUAUUACUUUGCUGCAGCUUACAUAAAGGUUGAUUGUCUUCAAGCGCUGACUGAUGCAGGAAUUUACCAGUUUGGAAAAUGCGCAAGCAAAGGAAAAACUGUGAAUCUCGAUCUCAAAUCAAGUAAGACUACCCGCUGAACUUAA